CCAGAGUGAUAAGUAAAAGUGCAGUAAAGAUGUUAAAGGCUUGUAUGUAUACGCAAGUAGAAUUUGAAUAUGUUGUAGUGGAAACAAGACCAAGAGAUUGCGUUGAUUGGAUAGGCCCAUAAGGGGAGAUACUAGUUUGUUUUGUGUUCUUUGUGACUCACUAAAGAGAUCCCACCAAGUAUAGACACACACACACACACACAGAGAGAGAGAGAGAGAGAGAGAGAGAGAGAGAGAGAGAGGGUAAGGGGGGGAGGAGGAGGAUUCUUGUUGGGCUCAUCUCCAACAACAAGUACUAAGUUUUUGAGCAUGUUAAAAGGGUGUGUUGGGGAUAAAGAGGUAGAAAGAGAGAAGCAUAAGGUGUCAUCUACUACUAAAUUCCCUUGCUGUUGUGUUUGGAGUUGAUUGACUUUUAUUCUAAUUCUCUUGAGAAACUCUCUCUCUCUCUCUCUCUCUCUCUCUCUCUCUCUCCCCCCCCCCACACCUCUUCUUUUGUAUUUGGUCUUCUUGUUCCUUCUUUUCUUUCGUUUUAGGACAUGGAACAAACCCAGCAAAUGGCAGCGGGGAGGAGAACAAAAGGAGUUUCAAGACAAUAUGUGUCUUCUGUGGGAGUAGAGCAUGGAACAACCCUUCAUUACACUGAUGCAACACUUCAACUGGGAAAAAUACUCGUGAGAAACCAACUUAAA
rnacentral:lncRNA from 1 species